UACGUAGGGUGCGAGCGUUAAUCGGAAUUACUGGGCGUAAAGCGUGCGCAGGCGGUUAUGUAAGACAGGUGUGAAAUCCCAGGGCUUAACCUUGGAACUGCAUUUGUGACUGCAUAGCUAGAGUACGGUAGAGGGGGAUGGAAUUCCGCGUGUAGCAGUGAAAUGCGUAGAUAUGCGGAGGAACACCGAUGGCGAAGGCAAUCCCCUGGACCUGUACUGACGCUCAUGCACGAAAGCGUGGGGAGCAAACAGG
rnacentral:rRNA from 1 species